AGCAGCCGCGGUAAUUCCAGCUCCAAUAGCGUAUAUUAAAGUUGUUGCAGUUAAAAAGCUCGUAGUUGAAUUUCGGGGUUUAUCCGUUGGUCGGGCUUUUUGGUCUGUACUGGCGUGAUGGAUUCCUACCUUCUGAAUAACCGGCAUGCCAUUAAUUUGGUGCGCCGGGGAAGCAGGACUGUUACCUUGAAAAAAUUAGAGUGCUUAAAGCAGGCUUAUUCCUAAAUACAUUAGCAUGGAAUAAUGAAAUAGGACGGCAUGGUUCUAUUUUGUUGGUUUCUAGGAUCACCGUAAUGAUUAAUAGGGAUAGUUGGGGGCGAUUAGUAUUCAAUUGUCAGAGGUGAAAUUCUUGGAUUUAUUGAAGACUAACUUCUGCGAAAGCAUUUGCCAAGGAUGUUUCAUUAAUCAAGAACGAAAGUUAGGGGAUCGAAGACGAUCAGAUACCGUCGUAGUCUUAACCAUAAACUAUGCCGACUAGGGAUCGGACGAUGUUAAUUUUUUAAUGACUCGUUCGGCGCCU
rnacentral:rRNA from 1 species